rnacentral:rRNA from 1 species
UACGGGGGGAGCAAGCGUUGUUCGGAUUUACUGGGCGUAAAGGGCGCGUAGGCGGCCACCGCAAGUCGACUGUGAAAUCUCCGGGCUUAACCCGGAAAGGUCAGCCGAUACUGCGGGGCUAGAGUGCAGAAGGGGCAACUGGAAUUCUCGGUGUAGCGGUGAAAUGCGUAGAUAUCGAGAGGAACACCUGCGGCGAAGGCGGGCUGCUGGGCUGACACUGACGCUGAUGCGCGAAAGCUGGGGUAGCGAACAGG